GGGAGACCAUCCUACCUAAAAUAGCCAGUGUCUGCCACCACCUCCACAAACUUCUCAUACUCUCUUCUCCCACUUGGUUUAUAAUUUCCUAAAGCACUGUUCUUAGCAGGCAUCAUAUUGUAUAUCUAUCUGUUUAUUGUCUCUCCCUCUCCGCAUUACAAUGCUAGCUCCCUGAAACGUUACCUUUGUUGUGCACUGCUGGAUCCCUGUGCCCAGAACAUCAUAGGACCUCAACAAGGUUUGUUGAAUGAAUGAAAGAUGGCCUGAGACAGCUCAUCAGAGGAUUCCCCCUGCCCUCAGUGGGACCAAAACUGCGGACGCUUGGACUGCUGGCUGGCCUUUGUGCCUUGUCAUGUCUUUUUCUGGAGAACACGCUUUUCUCUUAGAGUUUAUAUUGCUUUUAUUGAAGCCUCAUCCUGUCACUUUAAGAAGAGGAAUGUUCCCUCUGGACACAUAUUUCAUUAACAGAGCAUUAUCUCCCAAAGUAACUAAGAACUUUCAAAAGAAGGGUGAUGGUUAUAAGAGCCUCUAGAUAAUUUGGACUGAUUAGGUAUCUUAAUCCAGUUGCCAGUUAAUUGUGUUUGUUUGUGAUUAAGAAUAUGAUUUUCACCUCCUCCCCCCUCCACGAUCUCGCUGUGUUUGGAGAAGGCCAAUCUUCGUAUCUGCAGCCGGCUCUUUGAAGGUGUUUGCUGAAGGGAUGAGACCACUGGCUCACCUGGAGCCAGGAGCUGGGAGGAAGGAAUCUCUGCGCAGCCACCUGCAGGAGAUACUCAAUGGAUUAUAAGAGUGAUACUAGAUGAGAACUUCUCUCACUGAUAAGCACCAAGUCAACAAUGAGCCGUUUAUUGACAUUAUUCGCUGCUGAACAACGGGGUUGUUUGCCUUGACAGUCAGACCUGCGGCCUCGGCGGUUUUCUCUAAACCAGGCAUCUACAAAUGUCUUCAAGUCUUUUAGAGCAAGAACUUUCUGUAAGGAGGAGACCUAAAAUUGUGACACUAUCAAAACUGCUACAACCUGGAGUAAUACACCAAAAAGAAAAAUUGUUUCCUCUGUAGAUUUAUUUUCAGAUAUAAUGGACUUGCAUAGUACAUUUAAAGUGGUAUGUUGGUUCCUUAAAAAAAAAAAGUGUUGCUUUUUAAAGGACAUGAAUGUGGAAAAGUGAUUUGUUGUUUUACAUAACAUAAUAAUUAAUAUUUAUACAGUACUUCGUAAAGUAUUUUUAUAUACAAACUUCAAUUUAAUCUUCAAAAUAACCCUACUAUAAUAUUCUU